AUUGAACGCUGGCGGCAGGCCUAACACAUGCAAGUCGAGCGGAUGAAGGGAGCUUGCUCCUGGAUUCAGCGGCGGACGGGUGUGUAAUGCCUAGGAAUCUGCCUGGUAGUGGGGGAUAACGUCCGGAAACGGGCGCUAAUACCGCAUACGUCCUGAGGGAGAAAGUGGGGGAUCUUCGGACCUCACGCUAUCAGAUGAGCCUAGGUCGGAUUAGCUAGUUGGUGGGGUAAAGGCCUACCAAGGCGACGAUCCGUAACUGGUCUGAGAGGAUGAUCAGUCACACUGGAACUGAGACACGGUCCAGACUCCUACGGGAGGCAGCAGUGGGGAAUAUUGGACAAUGGGCGAAAGCAUGAUACAGCAAUGCCGCGUGUGUGAAGAAGGUCUUCGGAUUGUAAAGCACUUUAAGUUGGGAGGAAGGGCAGUAAGUUAAUACCUUGCUGUUUUGACGUUACCAACAGAAUAAGCACCGGCUAACUUCGUG
rnacentral:rRNA from 1 species